GAUGAACGCUGGCGGCGUGCUUAACACAUGCAAGUCGAACGAUGAAGCCCAGCUUGCUGGGUGGAUUAGUGGCGAACGGGUGAGUAACACGUGAGUAACUUGCCCUUAACUCUGGGUUAAGCCUGGGAAACUGGGUCUAAUACCGGAUAGGAGCGUCCACCGCAUGGUGGGUGUUGGAAAGAUCGAUCGGUUUUGGAUGGACUCGCGGCCUAUCAGCUUGUUGGUGAGGUAAUGGCUCACAAACGCCACGACGGGUAGCCGGCCUGGGAGUGUGACCGGCCACACGGGGACUGAGAGACGGCCCAGACUCCUACAGGAGGCAACAGUGGGAAAUAUUGCACAAUGGGCGCAAGCCUGAUGCAGCGGCGCCGCGUGAGGGAUGACGGCCUUCGGGUUGUAAACCUCUUUCAGUAGAGAAGAAGCGAAAGUGACGGUACCUGCAGAAGAAGCACCGGCUAACUACGUG
rnacentral:rRNA from 1 species